UACGAAGGGGGCGAGCGUUGUUCGGAAUUACUGGGCGUAAAGGGCGCGCAGGCGGUCCUUCAAGUCAGAUGUGAAAGCCCCGGGCUCAACCUGGGAACAGCAUUUGAGACUGGAGGACUUGAGGACGGGAGAGGAGAGUGGAAUUCCCAGUGUAGAGGUGAAAUUCGUAGAUAUCCGGAGGAACACCGGUGGCGAAGGCGGCUAACUGGUCCAGAUCUGACGCUGAGGUGCGAAAGCGUGGGGAGCAAACAGG
rnacentral:rRNA from 1 species